rnacentral:rRNA from 1 species
GGGUUGUGAGGUUAAGCGACUAAGCGUACACGGUGGAUGCCCUGGCAGUCAGAGGCGAUGAAGGACGUGCUAAUCUGCGAAAAGCGUCGGUAAGGUGAUAUGAACCGUUAUAACCGGCGAUGUCCGAAUGGGGAAACCCAGUGUGAUUCGUCACACUAUCGUUAACUGAAUACAUAGGUUAACGAGGCGAACCGGGGGAACUGAAACAUCUAAGUACCCCGAGGAAAAGAAAUCAACCGAGAUUCCCCCAGUAGCGGCGAGCGAACGGGGAGCAGCCCAGAGUCUGAAUCAGCUUGUGUGUUAGUGGAACGGUCUGGAAAGUCCGACGGUACAGGGUGAUAGUCCCGUACACCAAAAUGCACAGGCUGUGAACUCGAAGAGUAGGGCGGGACACGUGGUAUCCUGUCUGAAUAUGGGGGGACCAUCCUCCAAGGCUAAAUACUCCUGACUGACCGAUAGUGAACCAGUACCGUGAGGGAAAGGCGAAAAGAACCCCGGCGAGGGGAGUGAAAAAGAACCUGAAACCGUGUACGUACAAGCAGUGGGAGCACCUUCGGGUGUGACUGCGUACCUUUUGUAUAAUGGGUCAGCGACUUAUAUUCUGUAGCAAGGUUAACCGUAUAGGGGAGCCGCAGGGAAACCGAGUCUUAACUGGGCGUUAAGUUGCAGGGUAUAGACCCGAAACCCGGUGAUCUAGCCAUGGGCAGGUUGAAGGUUGGGUAACACUAACUGGAGGACCGAACCGACUAAUGUUGAAAAAUUAGCGGAUGACUUGUGGCUGGGGGUGAAAGGCCAAUCAAACCGGGAGAUAGCUGGUUCUCCCCGAAAGCUAUUUAGGUAGCGCCUCGUGAAUUCAUCUUCGGGGGUAGAGCACUGUUUCGGCUAGGGGGUCAUCCCGACUUACCAACCCGAUGCAAACUACGAAUACCGAAGAAUGUUAUCACGGGAGACACACGGCGGGUGCUAACGUCCGUCGUGAAGAGGGGAAACAACCCAGACCGCCAGCUAAGGUCCCAAAGUCAUGGUUAAGUGGGAAACGAUGUGGGAAGGCACAGACAGCCAGGAUGUUGGCUUAGAAGCAGCCAUCAUUUAAAGAAAGCGUAAUAGCUCACUGGUCGAGUCGGCCUGCGCGGAAGAUGUAACGGGGCUAAACCAUGCACCGAAGCUGCGGCAGCGACACUAUGUGUUGUUGGGUAGGGGAGCGUUCUGUAAGCCUGCGAAGGUGACCUGUGAGGGUUGCUGGAGGUAUCAGAAGUGCGAAUGCUGACAUAAGUAACGAUAAAGCGGGUGAAAAGCCCGCUCGCCGGAAGACCAAGGGUUCCUGUCCAACGUUAAUCGGGGCAGGGUGAGUCGACCCCUAAGGCGAGGCCGAAAGGCGUAGUCGAUGGGAAACAGGUUAAUAUUCCUGUACUUGGUGUUACUGCGAAGGGGGGACGGAGAAGGCUAUGUUAGCCGGGCGACGGUUGUCCCGGUUUAAGCAUGUAGGCUGGUUGUCCAGGCAAAUCCGGAUAAUCAAGGCUGAGGUGUGAUGACGAGGCACUACGGUGCUGAAGUAACAAAUGCCCUGCUUCCAGGAAAAGCCUCUAAGCAUCAGGUAACAUCAAAUCGUACCCCAAACCGACACAGGUGGUCAGGUAGAGAAUACCAAGGCGCUUGAGAGAACUCGGGUGAAGGAACUAGGCAAAAUGGUGCCGUAACUUCGGGAGAAGGCACGCUGGUGUGUAGGUGAAGUCCCUGCGGAUGGAGCUGAGACCAGUCGAAGAUACCAGCUGGCUGCAACUGUUUAUUAAAAACACAGCACUGUGCAAACACGAAAGUGGACGUAUACGGUGUGACGCCUGCCCGGUGCCGGAAGGUUAAUUGAUGGGGUUAUCCGUAAGGAGAAGCUCUUGAUCGAAGCCCCGGUAAACGGCGGCCGUAACUAUAACGGUCCUAAGGUAGCGAAAUUCCUUGUCGGGUAAGUUCCGACCUGCACGAAUGGCGUAAUGAUGGCCAGGCUGUCUCCACCCGAGACUCAGUGAAAUUGAACUCGCUGUGAAGAUGCAGUGUACCCGCGGCAAGACGGAAAGACCCCGUGAACCUUUACUAUAGCUUGACACUGAACAUUGAGCCUUGAUGUGUAGGAUAGGUGGGAGGCUUUGAAGCGUGGACGCCAGUCUGCGUGGAGCCAACCUUGAAAUACCACCCUUUAAUGUUUGAUGUUCUAACGUUGGCCCCUUAUCGGGGUUGCGGACAGUGUCUGGUGGGUAGUUUGACUGGGGCGGUCUCCUCCCAAAGCGUAACGGAGGAGCACGAAGGUUAGCUAAUCCUGGUCGGACAUCAGGAGGUUAGUGCAAUGGCAUAAGCUAGCUUGACUGCGAGCGUGACGGCGCGAGCAGGUGCGAAAGCAGGUCAUAGUGAUCCGGUGGUUCUGAAUGGAAGGGCCAUCGCUCAACGGAUAAAAGGUACUCCGGGGAUAACAGGCUGAUACCGCCCAAGAGUUCAUAUCGACGGCGGUGUUUGGCACCUCGAUGUCGGCUCAUCACAUCCUGGGGCUGAAGUAGGUCCCAAGGGUAUGGCUGUUCGCCAUUUAAAGUGGUACGCGAGCUGGGUUUAGAACGUCGUGAGACAGUUCGGUCCCUAUCUGCCGUGGGCGCUGGAGAAUUGAGGGGGGCUGCUCCUAGUACGAGAGGACCGGAGUGGACGCAUCACUGGUGUUCGGGUUGUCAUGCCAAUGGCACUGCCCGGUAGCUAAAUGCGGAAGAGAUAAGUGCUGAAAGCAUCUAAGCACGAAACUUGCCCCGAGAUGAGUUCUCCCUGAGACUUUAAGUCUCCUGAAGGAACGUUGAAGACGACGACGUUGAUAGGCCGGGUGUGUAAGCGCAGCGAUGCGUUGAGCUAACCGGUACUAAUGAACCGUGAGGCUUAACCUUACAACGCCGAAG